rnacentral:misc_RNA from 1 species
GAUGAAGAACGUAGCGAAAUGCGAUACUUGGUGUGAAUUGCAGAAUCCCGUGAACCAUCGAGUCUUUGAACGCAAGUUGCGCCCGAAGCCAUUAGGCCGAGGGCACGCCUGCCUGGGCGUCACACGUCGUUGCCCCCCCAUCUACUCCUUCGGGAUUGCGGGGGGCGGAUGAUGGCCUCCCGUGCGCCUCGUCGCGCGGUUGGCCUAAAUGCCAAGUCCUCGGCGACGCACGCCACGACAAUCGGUGGUUGCGAAACCUCGGUUGCCCGUCGUGUGCGGUCGUCGCGCAUCGAGGGCUCGAAAAAAUUGCCGGGCUUCGGCUCGACUUUCAACGCGACCCCAAGUCAGGCGGGGUUACCCGCUGAAUUUAAGCAUAUCAAUAAGCGGAGGA